GAAGGAAGAAAGACUAGAGUAGGUGGCAGAGCAGGAGAUGCAGGCAGGAGGUGGAUGGGUAGAGACAACGGCUACUAUUCACCAGGCAGUCUCUGCAUGCCCGACCCUGGGGUAAGGACUCUACAAACCUGAUCUCAUUGAAUCCCCCUGGCCAAUGCAUUUCACCGAUGGCGAAACAGACACAGAGAGGCUGUUAUCUGCCUAAACCCACACAGCUGGUAAUUAACAGAUGCAAUUACAGUGGGCCUGUCUGCGAGGCUCAUGCAGGUAAGCAACUUCACAUGGGCCUGGGACCCCUCCUCCCCCAAGAGGAAGGGGACCCUUUUCAGUAGGUCCUAGCGGCUACACCCAUCAAAUGCAAGGUUAUAUUUGGGUUCAGGAAAUUAAACCACAGGGGCUUGGUCAAAUUAAAUUGAACACAAAUGAAAAGGAACCAGUGAAAGAGACUGCAUGGGGGUUCAUUACCAUAAUAGCUACCUGGGGACACAGAUGUAGUAGGUCAUGGGCAGGUCUCCUGCCCCAAAGAGAAUAGACAUCAUUAGGAAUUCAAAUGCGCUUGGCGAAGGAUGUAAUUGAAUAGAACUAAAGUUAACUUUAGCUUUAGUUCGACAGGCUGGGGUGAAGCCAUACAUAAUCAUUAGUUAAAUCCAUUUUCACCUGUAACCUGCCUUCGCUAAUUAAGUUCGAUUUAAUUGUUGCCACAAAAGAUGUGCCUGUUCUUCAAACACCGGCCUAAGGUGUUUUCUACAGACAGGGUCAGCCUCGACUUGUUCCAACCCAGCUGGUUAAGACGCGUAACUACUGACCCUUCAAUUGGGUAUGCGCAGAAGCCUGUCGCUUAGUUUCUCCUGCGCAGAAUGAGGAGUUUUUCCCACCUUUUCCCAAUCACCUUCCUCGAUGUUCCCCAGUCCUUAGAUCGCCCUGCCUCAUUGGUUAUUCUAUAUAAAUACGAGCCCCUUGUGUUUCUGGAGGCGGGUUUCCGACGAGUUUUCGCUUGGUUGCCUUGCAAGUAAACCGCCUGCUGCAGUCCUCGGUCUCAGCGUUUUGGCUGGGAGAGAACGAGCCUGGUUUUAACAAAUUGCCAGCCAGAAGUAUGCAGCAACUUGAUGUGGGAUCUCAGUUCUCAGUCCCAGGAUUGAACCCCAGGCUGCAAUGGUGGAAGCCCUGAGUCCUAAUCACUAGACCACCUGGCGACUCCCUCCGCAUUUCCUCUGAAAGCAGUAUCUACCUUGGACAAAGAAUAUCACCUGCCAUGUCAGUGAACAAAGGAUGUGGCCAUCAGCCACUCUAGCCACCCCUGAUAGUGCAUCCUGAGGGGAUUCACGGUGGAAAAAACCAGAAUACUGGCCCUAGAGAGUCAAUGGUGCAUAUCGAAGGAAUAACUUCAUUGACAAGAUGUUCACAGGUGGGAGCAGCUUUAGGGACCAGUGCCAGUGGAAGGCUGGGUAUGUGGUGCUAACUCAUCAAAAGACACUGGAAGCCAAAGCCCCUCCGCCCCCACCCCCCAGGUAUCUUUGCACAAAAGGUGGAACCUAAUAGCCCUGAUGACAGUCUGCCAUCUAGGUUAAUGUUUCCUACGGCUGCUCCCCAGCACCACUCUGUUCUGGAGACUGAGUCCUACUGAAAUCUUGGAAAAUAAACAACACAAGCCUGGAAGAACCUGAUGUUGGGAUUUCCCAAACUUUGGCAAAAGCAGGGUACUCAGUUUGGCCAGAGAGCUCUCCAAACCCAGGUGGGGCAAUACCCCUUAAGACAAGUCCCACUGGAGUUGUGAAUGCUGAGACUGUUUAGCUGAUGGAAUUAAUUUUGGUUCACUCUUUUUCAACUUUGGGUUUAUUCAUUUGGAAAAACCAGAUGCCAACUUAUAGAGACAAUCCAAAGAGAAUGGAAAAUUUUCCAACCUACAAACCCAACCUGUGCUGAUAUCAAAAUUUAUUAAACAUCAUCCUCACUUCAGAAGAACAUAGAAGAGGACUAGGAAAAACUAGGGAGGAGCCAGAUCUGCUUUAGGUAGACGUCCCUCACCACUCCAGAAGGGCUGUAGCAGGAAUGAAUGUACCAACAGCAGAUCCCAAUUGGGAUGUGAAUGCUGAGGAUAGGCCAAAAUUUGAACAUGAUCAAGACUGCAUUUAGGUAACUGACAGAUCUAUUUCAGAUGUCCUGACCCAAGGGACCUGCCAUUGGAGGAUCCAGACUUUGAGAUCGAUGAAGGGAUGGAAGGGAUGGAAGAAACAAAGGAAUUUAGACUCAAAGAUUAUUGGCAGAUUUGAUUUUACUAUGAUGCUGAAGAUCCACUACAGACCUCAGUGACCACUUCUGUCCUGGAGACUGGGUCCUGAUGAAAACUUGGAACAAAAAAUAUCCAGAAGACCAGCACCAUCCUUAUUUGACCAGGCCUGACAAAGUACUACUCACAGCCCAUUCCUCAGCGAAGGCUGAAGGGAAUUAAAACAUGGAUCCAUCAUAUUCAAGUUAAGGCAGUCCUGCAAAGAUCACUGGAGCCACCACAUCCUGUCGACAGGAACAUGACAGGAACUAGAGACCAUGCUGCAGAAGAAGACCAUGAUUGAUAUUAUCCAAACUUUGGCUGGUUCCAGUACCUGACACUGACUUCUGAGUGGGCAAGAGCCCUAACAGAUACUAAGUUCCUUUUCAGAAGGAAGUUAUGAUAAAGAAACUGAGGUGAAUAGGAUUGCUGCAGUAGUGACUUCAGUAAAAUAAAACUCUUCAAAAGUUUUGAUUACCAGUUUCAGGCGUGUGAAUACCUUCAACAGCUGGCACAUAGGUGGUAUUUGUUUAUUCAGAUUGUGGAAAAGGAAUGUUGUCUGCCAUUCCAGUUCUCCAAGGAUUAUGGCCACCAGCCACUGCAGUCACCCACCCCACUCCCCCCAUGAUACACCCUGAAGAGAAUGUAGUAUGGAGAAAAAAACAAAGCAUUUUGUGUUUUGGAUAUUUGACCCUGUAUAAUUAAGAUGCAUAUCUAAGGAAUAGUUUCAAAGAGCCUAGCUCUUGCAUCUAGACAUAGAAAAGCACUAAAAUCAUUAACUUGAUCUAUUUUUUCGUGAUCAGCAAUAAUUUUUUUGAUGUUUGACUACAUUUUUUCCUACAUAUCCUGGCUCUUCCCUUACCUCUUUUGAGCUGUUCCCCAGCUAUCAUCUGAGAGGCUGUCUGGGUCCUGAGCUUAUAGUCAGUCACUCUGUAAGGGCCCCAAAUCUUUUAACUUUUAGCCUGUGUGUUUUCUUCAACAGUUUUGGUGACCGCAAAGACACCCAAAGCAGAUUUAGCCUUCUCCUGACCUCUGCUAGGAUUGGGAGCUGUGGUACUACCAGAGACCCCUUGGGCCUGUCCACCUCCUCAGAGUACAGAUGAAUUCGGGUGAACCUCUCCUGGUUUUUGGAUCUUCUGAUUAUUGGUUGAUCCUGAGUUUUAUUUGAUGGUGCACAUAACAGGACCUUGGCCCCCCAGUUGAAGCACCCAGGGAAGAUUUUUGCCUAGUGGAGGUAGGAGAUUAAGAAGUACAAAGAUUAUAUAUACAUAAAAUAACGAGAAUACAUAAAAUAAGCAAUGAGGAUACAUAUUAUACAAAGGGAAUAUAGCCAAUAUUUUAUAACUAAAAACCUUUUAAACUUGUGAAUCACUGUUACAUACCUGUAACUUAUACUGUAAAUAAACCCAACCUUAAACUAAUAAAAGCAGCAAAAGAAAAGCAGGUAGCUAAUAUUUCAGCAACACUGCAGGUCAUAAGCACAAUAUAUAAUAAAGUGAUGAAAUGGUGGAAACUACAACCAGGAAUACUUUCUACCAAGAAUACUCUCUACCU